rnacentral:misc_RNA from 1 species
AGGCAUGCACUGGCUGCAGCUUCGGUAUAGUAGGGUUUACUCUACGGCGAGAGCUGUCUUGUAAAUGUUGGAGCAGAGCAGAUCACAGGAUUCCAAAUAAGCCGGAGCGUGGUUCUCACCCAUGAACCAGGUUUGACUUAGUGACUCCAACAUUCUUCUACGAUAUAGUGUGCGCUUAGUGAACAGCUCUCGGCUGAUUCUGAUGUAGCCCAUUGGUUUGUUUACAUUAUGUUUCAUGCGUACGAUCCGAUACUGAACCUGUUGUUUAGCCGUUUCUUUAGCUGAAACACA